rnacentral:rRNA from 1 species
AUUGAACGCUGGCGGCAAGCCUAACACAUGCAAGUCGAACGAGUGGCGGACGGGUGAGUAAUGUCUGGGAAACUGCCUGAUGGAGGGGGGUAACUACUGGAAACGGUAGCUAAUACCGCAUACCAUCGGAUGUGCCCAGAUGGGAUUAGCUAGUAGGUGGGGUAAAGGCUCACCUAGGCGACGAUACCUAGCUGGUCUGAGAGGAUGACCAGCAAAACUGGAACGGAGACCCGGUCCAGAUGCUUACGGGAGGCAGCAGUGGGGAAUAUUGCACAAUGGGCGCAAGCCUGAUGCAGCAAUGCCGCGUGUAUGUAGAAGGCCUUCGGGUUGUAAAGUACUUUCAGCGGGGAGGCGUUACCCGCAGAAGAAGCACCGGCUAACUCCGUGCCAGCAGCCGCGGUAAUUC